GACGAACGCUGGCGGCGUGCUUAACACAUGCCAGUCGAACGAAGAGCGACGGAAGCUUGCUUCUAUCAAUCUUAGUGGCGAACGGGUGAGUAACGCGUAAUCAACCUGCCCUUCAGAGGGGGACAACAGUUGGAAACGACUGCUAAUACCGCAUACGAUCUAACCUCGGCAUCGAGGAUAGAUGAAAGGUGGCCUCUACAUGUAAGCUAUCACUGCAGGAGGGGAUUGCGUCUGAUUAGCUAGUUGGAGGGGUAACGGCCCACCAAGGCGAUGAUCAGUAGCCGGUCUGAGAGGAUGAACGGCCACAUUGGGACUGAGACACGGCCCAGACUCCUACGGGAGGCAGCAGUGGGGAAUCUUCCGCAAUGGACGAAAGUCUGACGGAGCAACGCCGCGUGAGUGAUGACGGCCUUCGGGUUGUAAAGCUCUGUUAAUCGGGACGAAAGGCCUUCUUGCGAAUAGUGAGAAGGAUUGACGGUACCGGAAGAGAAAGCCACGGCUAACUACGUG
rnacentral:rRNA from 1 species